rnacentral:rRNA from 1 species
UAUUGGACAAUGGGGUGAACCCUGAUCCAGCCAUGCCGCGUGUGUGAAGAAGGCCUUAUGGUUGUAAAGCACUUUAAGCGAGGAGGAGGCUCUCUUGGUUAAUACCCAAGAUGAGUGGACGUUACUCGCAGAAUAAGUACCGGCUAACUCUGUGCCAGCCGCCGCGGUAAUACAGAGGGUGUGAGCGUUAAUCGGAUUUACUGGGCGUAAAGCGUGCGUAGGCGGCUUUUUAAGUCGGAUGUGAAAUCCCCGAGCUUAACUUGGGAAUUGCAUUCGAUACUGGGAAGCUAGAGUAUGGGAGAGGAUGGUAGGGUUCCAGGUGUAGCGGUGAAAUGCGUAGAGAUCUGGAGGAAUACCGAUGGCGAAGGCAGCCAUCUGGCCUAAUACUGACGCUGAGGUACGAAAGCAUGGGGAGCAAACAGG